UGGCUGAGAUGGUAAAGCAUCUGUCUGCAAUGCAGGAGACCCAGGUUUGAUUCCUGG
rnacentral:tRNA from 1 species